rnacentral:rRNA from 1 species
UACGGGGGGGGCAAGCGUUGUUCGGAAUUACUGGGCGUAAAGGGCUCGUAGGUGGCCAACUAAGUCAGACGUGAAAUCCCUCGGCUUAACCGGGGAACUGCGUCUGAUACUGGAUGGCUUGAGUUUGGGAGAGGGACGCGGAAUUCCAGGUGUAGCGGUGAAAUGCGUAGAUAUCUGGAGGAACACCGGUGGCGAAGGCGGCAUCCUGGACCGGUAUUGACGCUGAUGCGCGAAAGCCAGGGGAGCAAACGGG